UUGCAUUCUUUACGUGCCUCUGUGUAACAUAUUCUCAUUUGAGCUGAGAUAUCAAAUAGUUUAUAGUUUAGCUUAGCCUACGUUCAUUUUUGUCUUACAGGCAUUAGGCUAAUGGCAAAUGCUAAGAGGGGUGCACUGUGCACAUAAAGGGGUGUCAAACUAAAGGAAGAAGAAACGAAAAAAGCGCAAGCCUAAAUGCAUUCGCUAUUUUUAAAACUGUCUAGAGAAGGAAGGCAGGACAAAGAUAGAGGAAUGUAAAGUAAAUAUUAUGUUAAUCAGUCAAUGACAUUAUUUUGCUGUUGCAGAACUAUUGAUAGCAUCGUUAGCCGUUAGCAUAAUGUCAAAACUUGGCCAGCGCGACUUCUUUUAGACCUAACGUCAAUUCAUGUUAAUUAAGGUAAUUUUGUCAUGGGCAUUAGUUAUGUAAUAACCCCUACAUUACCUUCGUCAGGUAAAUGUUCAAAUAUUAGAUUAGGUGUUAUGAUGUUAUUUGCUUUGAAGUGGUUUUCCCACGUUUUCACAGCUUGUAACAGUGAAUUAAAAUGCUUUCCAUUUUUUCUGCCGUUCUAAGCCCAGGUAUUGUUGUGGUACAGUUGAUUUUGUCUUUAGUGCAUUUAUGGUGGAUUUUAAUCAGCAAUAAAGUACACAUCAAUAUGUCAACAUGCAUAAAAUCCCCACAUGAUAUAUUUUACUGCAGUUUAUUGAGUCUGUGCAUUCUUCGUAUUUCACUGUAAUGACAAUAACAUUGAAAUCAUUUAUGAAUAAAUAAUGUAUUUUUCAUAUCAGAUCAAGUAGAUUGAAUACAGUAUUUUAUAGUUAAGUCUACAAUGUGCAUGCAUCUCUAGGUUUUUCUUUUUUUAUUUAUGUUGUUUCCUUUUUUUAUUCUUAAAGUCCUGUGUUUAUUAGACUAUUGUCACAUAAUCCUCUUCUGUCCUCAGAUGCACUGCCGAGGUUUCUCAGUCCAUCUUCUGUAAAUCCUCAUGUUGCUCAUGCAUCAGCAGCACAACCCAGCAUUGAUGCAGGAGGAUCAAGCACUGCACCUGCUCCAAUAGACCAUACUUGCUGGCCAUCAAAUCAACCCCACAAUGGAGACACAGCUGCGAGAAUUCUUGAUGGAGCGCAAUAUAGCUGAGGAUGUGAUUCAGAAACUUGAAGAUGAAAAUAUUGACGCAGCUGUUAUUCCACUGAUGACCGACACUGACUUGGCAAAAUAUAUCCCCAAAGUUGGAGACAGAGUUUCAACUGUGGCCUUCUGCAGACGAAAUGCUUUGUCAGAGAGUGUAUCAUCCAGGAAGGAGUCCAUCCUUUCAAGACUGCGGCAAAGAUUGCAUGGAACUGAGGAGCCUGGGAAAAAACGGUGUGCUAAACUUGAAGGAAAUGUAAACGCCA